rfam:Oribacterium sp. oral taxon 078 str. F0262 genomic scaffold Scfld4, whole genome shotgun sequence.
UAAGUCCCCGUCAAGCGCCGGAACAGACGCCGUGUACACACGGGCGGCUGUUCCGGCAUUUGACGGGACAACAGGUAUGAGCAAGGAGGGCGAGAGCCCGGAAUGCGAAUACCUGUCAGCGCUGCGGGAGCAGCGCGGGGACUUA